rnacentral:rRNA from 1 species
AAACAUUGAUGGGGCACUACCUUCCCCAUCCGCCCGGGAACUACGAGCAUAAGCUUAAAACCCAAAGGACUUGGCGGUGCUUUAGAUCCACCUAGAGGAGCCUGUUCUAGAACCGAUAACCCCCGUUAAACCUCACCCUUCCUGGCCUUUUUCCGCCUAUAUACCACCGUCGUCAGUUUACCCUAUGAGGGAUUAAUAGUAAGCAAGAUUGGCACCAGCCUAAAACGUUAGGUCGAGGUGUAGUGCAUGGAAGGGGAAGAAAUGGGCUACAUUCGCUGACUCAGCGAAAACGAACGACAAAAUGAAAUGUUUGUCUAAAGGAGGAUUUAGAAGUAAGUAGAAAAUAGAGUGUUUU